UGCAGGUGAGGUUCAUUUUUUUCCGUAGGCCGGCGCGCUGGCCCCCUCGUGGGUGUGAGGGGUCGCGCAAGCUUGCAGUCCGGCCUGACGCCCUUCCGCCUCUGCGCCGUUCGCGUCUUCUGCCUCCUGCCUCCCCGCCCGUCACCUCCCACCGACCCGGGAAGUAGGAGCCUCCAGACCUCCGCCUCCCUGCAGGGCGGCGGGGGAGCCGCGGACGCCAGCCCGCGGCCUGCUGGUGAGGCGGGAGCCCGGCGCGUCUGGAGCCUGCGCAGGAGAGCCAAGUGGUGAGUCGCGGGGAGCAGGUCGGUCCCCGCGGGAGGGACGAGGAGGCCGCGUGCGCGGAAGCAGAGAUGUCCGAGGUGCGCCCCUCGUCCAAGGCCCCUGGCGUCAAAUAAACGUGUUCUCCGAGA